rnacentral:misc_RNA from 1 species
GAUGAAGAACGUAGCGAAAUGCGAUAAGUAAUGUGAAUUGCAGAAUUCAGUGAAUCAUCGAAUCUUUGAACGCACAUUGCGCCCGCCAGUAUUCUGGCGGGCAUGCCUGUUCGAGCGUCAUUUCAACCAUCAAGCCCCAGGCUUGUGUUGGGGACCUGCGGCUGCCGCAGGCCCUGAAAACCAGUGGCGGGCUCGCUGUCACACCGGGCGUAGUAGAUUUUAUCUCGCCCAGGGCGUGCUGCGGGUUCCGGCCGUUAAAAAGCCUUUUUUACCCAAGGUUGACCUCGGAUCAGGUAGGAAGACCCGCUGAACUUAAGCAUAUCAAUAAGCGGAGGA